UUGCUUUGGCAGAAAAUAUACUAAAAUUGGAAUAAUACAAAGAUUAUUAGCGUGGACUCUGCACAAGGAAGACAUCAAAGCUGUGACAUCUUCCACAUUAAA